UGUCCCCUUUAAGCUUUGCCCACUCGAGGUUGUUAAUGUCUUGAGUGGCCAUUAUGGAGGGGUAGAUCAUGGUCCUCUCUGAAAACCUGGGUCAGGGGUCUCACCCCUGCCUCUGGACCUGUCGGGAGGAACAAGA
ensembl:snoRNA